CCCCUCCCCACAAUGAAGAGUGAUACUGCCAGGCAAAAGGCAACAAAAAGCAUUUCAUUAGCUUUCGGGUGACUUGGAAACUCUUGUCUAAAAAUACGGACAAGCAGGAGUGUGAAGGAGUGUGUGGGAGGGCUGUCCCCACAGUUCCCCACAGUUAGGACAACUGGGACCAGUUGUGGGAAAUGUGCCAAAAUGUCCCUGCCUAGAGCCUCUUUUAAAAUAAGCUCCCCUCCCACCCCGAGGUUUACAGGAAACUUCUCAGCAGAUGCAGGCAAUUUUCCCCCAGCCCUUGAAAUGGAAGACAAAGGAAGCUGAGUGACAGGGCAUCAGAAUGCGGAGAGAGGGCUCACCGGGCAGGCCGGACCAAUUAGCUGCCUUCCGCCCCUCGGCUCUCCGCGGUGGUCUCGGGGCGUUUAGUGGGGAAGUGAGGGGAGCCUGUGGGCCCUGGUGUGCUUGACACCCAAUUAGUGCUCAUCCCCCAGCUGACCGGCCAGCCUGCUCCCUUCCAGCUGCUCAGAAGCCCUCUCAACAGCAGCUCUGAGAACAGAGGGUGCUAAUUGGAUGCUGAAACCCCGACGACACCUCUCCAUCAGCCCAGCCCGGCCUUGUCCAGGCCCUGGCUUUCCGGAACGAGCUCCUGUCCCUGGUCCUAUCACCAACUCAUCGUCCCUGGGAAAAGGCCCUUCCUUUCAAGUAGAAACAGAGGAGCUGGCCUGCAGCUUCUGCCGGGAUUCUUGAAGAGCCCACAACAGGCCAGAGGCAAGCAUCUCUAUAACCAGGACCCAUCUUGUGAUCUUAAAAUCGUCGUUCUUGUGGCAGCGAUGGUGGCGUGGCCAACACUUACCGAACACGUGUGAUCUUCGUGGAGCUGCAGGGACGCCUGACCAGGCACCCACAGCCAGCCCCUGGACGGGUCAGUCGACAAAAUACCCUAUGGCCGUUUGAGGAAGGCAUAAGUCUUGUUUGUGAUCUGAAAGCCUUCUGUGGACACCUUCUGGGAAGAUCAAGAAAGAGCCAGCGUCGCAAAUGCAAAAGAAGUAUCAGUAGCUCGGAAGAAAAUCUCGGAGAUGCGGGCGGAGUGCUCUGUGAGAAAGUGCAGCAUCCUCUACGCCUGGCGUCUCAGAGGAUGACACUGCGUGGGAGACGUGGACACGGAUGGCUCUGAGUUGAAACAUGAUCCAGAGCAAGCUGGACCCUGAAGCCGGCAGGUGUGGACCCUGAGUAGGAAGGCUCGAGAUACUGUGGUUAACUCAGGCAUCUUCACAGCAGCAAGAUGGCCUCGGUAUAGUCACGCUGCCAACAUAGUGGUUGGCUUUCUCCCCAGAGCACAAAAGAAUGGAAGCCGCCAUGACUUCUUAAGGCCUUCUUGGAACUGGAAUAGUAUCACUUCCACAACAUUCUACCGGUUGAAAUAUGUCCCAGGGCCAGCCCAGAAUCAGGAGGAGGUCCCUCUGCUUGGAACGUUCUUCUUCCAGACAUGCAGAGCUGACUCCUCGCCAUUCAGAACUCAACUCCAAUCAACCUCCUCCAAGAGGCUGGCCCUGCUGUUGUCCCUCCCACUCAUCCCACUACCAUGUUUUAUUUCCCUUACAUGUAUUCCACGUGUCACCUAUUGAAAUGAUCUUUUAAAAAUAUAUUUAUUUAUUGCCUGUCUCCCCCACUGCCCCCCCCCCAACACUAGAACGUAGCUCUAUGAGAGCAAGAUCUUCCCAGUGUCUGGCACAGAGUAGAUGUUCAAUUAACAUAUGCUGUCCGAAUAGCUAAAUGGCCGGCCAUUCCUACCCACUGCUGUGUAAUUCAGCAGUUCUCGGCGGUAGAAUGUACCAUGAGUGAUUUGUGGUGAAUAAUAAAGGACCACGGCUGGGAGUGAUUUAUUUUGUAAGAAAAGGAUAAAUCAGAGGAGAUUCAAGGUCCUCGGCAUCAUGAUAGCUCUCUUACUUUAUCAAAUUUCAACACGGUUUCUGAGUGAAAGAGACAGAGGAGGAGUCGCAACAAGGGAAAUAGGAACGGUGUCCCCAGCCCCAUCUCUACCUCAGCUUUUCAGAAAUAACAGCCACUGAGAGGCACCUGGGUGGUUUGGUCAGUUGAGCAUCCAGCUCUGGCUCAGGUCAUGAUCUCAC